AUUGAACGCUGGCGGCAGGCCUAACACAUGCAAGUCGAACGGCAGCACAGAGGAGCUUGCUCCUUGGGUGGCGAGUGGCGGACGGGUGAGGAAUACAUCGGAAUCUACUCUGUCGUGGGGGAUAACGUAGGGAAACUUACGCUAAUACCGCAUACGACCUACGGGUGAAAGCAGGGGACCUUCGGGCCUUGCGCGAUUGAAUGAGCCGAUGUCGGAUUAGCUAGUUGGCGGGGUAAAGGCCCUCCAAGGCGACGAUCCGUAGCCGGUCUGAGAGGAUGAUCAGCCACACUGGAACUGAGACACGGUCCAGACUCCUACGGGAGGCAGCAGUGGGGAAUAUUGGACAAUGGGCGCAAGCCUGAUCCAGCCAUACCGCGUGGGUGAAGAAGGCCUUCGGGUUGUAAAGCCCUUUUGUUGGGAAAGAAAUCCAGCUGGCUAAUACCCGGUUGGGAUGACGGUACCCAAAGAAUAAGCACCGGCUAACUUCGUGCCAGCAGCCGCCGUAA
rnacentral:rRNA from 1 species